GAUGAACGCUGGCGGCGUGCUUAACACAUGCGAGUCGAACGGUGAAGCAGAGCUUGCUCUGUGGAUCAGUGGCGAACGGGUGAGUAACACGUGAGCAAUCUGCCCCGGACUCUGGGAUAACAGUUGGAAACAGCUGCUAAUACCGGAUAUGAGACGUGACCGCAUGGUCGACGUUUGGAAAGAAUUUCGGUUCGGGAUGAGCUCGCGGCCUAUCAGCUUGUUGGUGAGGUAAUGGCUCACCAAGGCGUCGACGGGUAGCCGGCCUGAGAGGGUGACCGGCCACACUGGGACUGAGACACGGCCCAGACUCCUACGGGAGGCAGCAGUGGGGAAUAUUGCACAAUGGGCGGAAGCCUGAUGCAGCAACGCCGCGUGAGGGAUGACGGCCUUCGGGUUGUAAACCUCUUUUAGCAGGGAAGAAGCGAAAGUGACGGUACCUGCAGAAAAAGCGCCGGCUAACUACGUGCCAGCAGCCGCGGUAAUACGUAGGGCGCAAGCGUUAUCCGGAAUUAUUGGGCGUAAAGAGCUCGUAGGCGGUUUGUCGCGUCUGCUGUGAAAACCCGAGGCUCAACCUCGGGCCUGCAGUGGGUACGGGCAGACUAGAGUGCGGUAGGGGAGAUUGGAACUCCUGGUGUAGCGGUGGAAUGCGCAGAUAUCAGGAAGAACACCGAUGGCGAAGGCAGAUCUCUGGGCCGUAACUGACGCUGAGGAGCGAAAGGGUGGGGAGCAAACAGGCUUAGAUACCCUGGUAGUCCACCCCGUAAACGUUGGGAACUAGUUGUGGGGUCCAUUCCACGGAUUCCGUGACGCAGCUAACGCAUUAAGUUCCCCGCCUGGGGAGUACGGCCGCAAGGCUAAAACUCAAAGGAAUUGACGGGGACCCGCACAAGCGGCGGAGCAUGCGGAUUAAUUCGAUGCAACGCGAAGAACCUUACCAAGGCUUGACAUAUACGAGAACGGGCCAGAAAUGGUCAACUCUUUGGACACUCGUAAACAGGUGGUGCAUGGUUGUCGUCAGCUCGUGUCGUGAGAUGUUGGGUUAAGUCCCGCAACGAGCGCAACCCUCGUUCUAUGUUGCCAGCACGUAAUGGUGGGAACUCAUGGGAUACUGCCGGGGUCAACUCGGAGGAAGGUGGGGAUGACGUCAAAUCAUCAUGCCCCUUAUGUCUUGGGCUUCACGCAUGCUACAAUGGCCGGUACAAAGGGCUGCAAUACCGUGAGGUGGAGCGAAUCCCAAAAAGCCGGUCCCAGUUCGGAUUGAGGUCUGCAACUCGACCUCAUGAAGUCGGAGUCGCUAGUAAUCGCAGAUCAGCAACGCUGCGGUGAAUACGUUCCCGGGUCU
rnacentral:rRNA from 1 species